GGCCUGCAAACAAAGAAUAUUAGACGUGUGUAAGAGAACACGAAGAGACCUUCUCCUUUGAUCCAAGCUGUAGUAACGGCGAUGAUAUUCCAGAAAAGUGCAAGAACCAACCCUGUUAGACAUGGAAACACACGAGUCCUCACUCUCCAAGUAAGACUAUAUAUACGUACCCAGAUAUGUUGCAAAUGCAAUAUACUGUAGCCUUUGAAGACGAACCGGAAUUUCAUUGGCAAUGUCAUGGUGGAUAAGUGGGAAGAAGGGUGGCCAGUUUUUCGCCUCGAUAACAAUUCCGGCUACAAAGAGAGUACUGCAACUAGUGCUGAAAAGAGGUAGAUGUUCGCCAAAACCAUACUAUAAGAUAAGUACCUCGUGCAGCAGCAUCUUCUUUCCGCUUCACA